rnacentral:rRNA from 1 species
AUUGAACGCUGGCGGCAUGCCUUACACAUGCAAGUCGAACGGUAACAGGUUAAGCUGACGAGUGGCGAACGGGUGAGUAAUGUAUCGGAACGUGCCCAGUCGUGGGGGAUAACUGCUCGAAAGAGCAGCUAAUACCGCAUACGACCUGAGGGUGCAAGCGGGGGAUCGCAAGACCUCGCGCGAUUGGAGCGGCCGAUAUCAGAUUAGGUAGUUGGUGAGGUAAAGGCUCACCAAGCCGACGAUCUGUAGCUGGUCUGAGAGGACGACCAGCCACACUGGGACUGAGACACGGCCCAGACUCCUACGGGAGGCAGCAGUGGGGAAUUUUGGACAAUGGGCGCAAGCCUGAUCCAGCCAUGCCGCGUGCGGGAAGAAGGCCUUCGGGUUGUAAACCGCUUUUGUCAGGGAAGAAAAGGUUCUGGCUAAUACCUGGGACUCAUGACGGUACCUGAAGAAUAAGCACCGGCUAACUACGUG